CAGUCGCCGCGGGAACACGAAGGGUGCAAGCGUUACUCGGAAUUACUGGGCGUAAAGCGUGCGUAGGUGGUGGUUUAAGUCCGUUGUGAAAGCCCUGGGCUCAACCUGGGAAUUGCAGUGGAUACUGGGUCACUAGAGUGUGGUAGAGGAUAGUGGAAUUUCCGGUGUAGCAGUGAAAUGCGUAGAGAUCGGAAGGAACAUCUGUGGCGAAGGCGACUAUCUGGGCCAACACUGACACUGAGGCACGAAAGCGUGGGGAGCAAACAGGAUUAGAGACCCGAGUAGUCCCUGUCUCUUAUAC
rnacentral:rRNA from 1 species